rnacentral:rRNA from 1 species
UGGGGAAUAUUGCACAAUGGGCGCAAGCCUGAUGCAGCCAUGCCGCGUGUGUGAAGAAGGCCUUCGGGUUGUAAAGCACUUUCAGCGAGGAGGAAGGGUGGUGUGUUAAUAGCACAUCACAUUGACGUUACUCGCAGAAGAAGCACCGGCUAACUCCGUGCCAGCAGCCGCGGUAAUACGGAGGGUGCAAGCGUUAAUCGGAAUUACUGGGCGUAAAGCGCACGCAGGCGGUCUGUUAAGUCAGAUGUGAAAUCCCCGCGCUUAACGUGGGAACUGCAUUUGAAACUGGCAAGCUAGAGUCUUGUAGAGGGGGGUAGAAUUCCAGGUGUAGCGGUGAAAUGCGUAGAGAUCUGGAGGAAUACCGGUGGCGAAGGCGGCCCCCUGGACAAAGACUGACGCUCAGGUGCGAAAGCGUGGGGAGCAAACA